rnacentral:lncRNA from 1 species
UGUAGAGUAACGGAAAAGUCUCAGGAGAGGAGGCUUUUGUGAAGAUCAUGACAUAGUCUACAUCAAAGCUGCCAGAUACAGUUUCUGUGAUUAAUCUGAGGAAUCGCAUGACUUAAACUAACAUGGAAACCUGCACAGGUGCAAUGAAGUUACACCUCAAGGAAGAAUGAAAUCUCCUUGCACUAUAAGUUUUGCAAGACUACUUCAGGAUGAUUAUGUCAAGGCUGUCGGAGCUCCUCGGUUUGUUAUGAGCAGAUGAAAAUCCAUCAUCAGCCAAUGACAGACCCUGCCUUUCCCUCACUCCAAUUUAAGGCAUGCGUGAACCUUCAACACAGUACCUUCUGCAGGUGUAACGCUGCCAGACACCGCCUGCGUAAGUUAUUCAAACAGAUCAAGCAGUAGAGGAGGAUCUGAACGACAUUCACCGAAACCAAAAUCUGAACAAUUGAACCAUGCGUGUGACCUGGUCUUAGUCCCAGCCUUGUCACGGAGUCCUGAGACAUGUUGAUCAGCUUUGUGAUUUUGCCUUGGUCUCGUGCUCAGUUUUAUUUUCAAAGUCUUGUACUAAGUCUGUGGUUCUAAAACUUUGGAGCGCUUCAGAACCAUCUGGAGGGUUUGUUUCCUAAAGGAAAUUGCUGAGGCAUAAACCAGAACUUUAGAUUCAGUCAUCCUGGGCCGGACUAGAGAAACUGUAGCAAUGGU